UCCAGGAAAAGGAACGCUCCUUCGAGCUUUAAAACCCCAACUGCUGCUCCGAACUAUAAUACUCCAACCGCAGCUUCAGAAAAAUUCAACACAAGAUCAAAUGUUAUUCGAGGAGGAAAAGGAUCUUUGAAAGAUUCUAAAGACAUUGGGUAUAAAUCAUCAGGGAAAGGUGGUGGUAAACUUGGAAACUCCUUUUCCAAAUCUGACAAACGCGUGAAGCCUCAAUUAGCUCGUGCUGUGGAGGUCACAAAUAGUGAUGAUGAUUAUGAUUCUUCGCCAGAAAGAAAUGUCACUGAGCUUCCUGAGAAGGUCCCAUCCUCUCUUUUUUUUCCUCCUAUCGGCACUUUCUCCGGUAUAUAGGAUUGAGAACAUAACCUUCUCUACAUCUUCUCUCAGAUUUCUGAAUUACCCAAGCCUCAGUCUGGCUCGCGUACCCUCAGUCAAUUAGAACAAGAGAAUAAUGAGUUAAGAGACAGGUUUGUUACCAUCUUACGUACCAUGUUAAUUUGCCUAUAAGAUUCGUGUUUCUUGUUUGUGUGAACACUGAAAGCUGUGCUUUUUGUUUCUCAGGCUCAAUAAAAAAGAAGAAGUCUUCCUGUUACUGCAAAAGGACCUGCGACGUGAGAAAGAGCUUCGCAAGACACUUGAAGCUGAGGUAACUUCUACUUUCGGACAUUUACUGUGUCUGCCUGAAAACCUGUAACAUCACUCACCUAUGGAUCCUCCUGUCAUUGCAGGUUCAAACAUUAAAGUACAAGUUAGAAGAAAUGGAUAAAGAGCAAGCGAGUUUAAUCGAUGUUUUCGCAGAGGAUAGAGACAGACGUGACAAGGAGGAAGAAAAUCUCAGAAUUAAGCUAGAGGUUCUCAUCCGUUCAAACCUCAUUUCUCUAAAUAGUCUCUUAGAUUCAAGAAAUAGAAUGACUUGACUCUGUGAUUGCAGGAGGCGUCAAACACAAUCCAAAAGUUGCUGGAUGGAAAAGCUCGAGGCAGAUAAGUCGUUCAUCGCAGACGUUAGAGGUGCAUUGAUGAUAGUAUUGAGAGGCAUCUUACAUAAUUGACUGAUUAGGUUGAUUGCUUUAACAUCAACGUUUUGUAGUGGUGUGUGGUCUCGGAC
rnacentral:lncRNA from 1 species